AAAACAUCUCCAGUGAUGACCUUGUCACUCGUAGAUCCAACCGAGUGCUAGGCUAUCACAGGAAUAGUGCUGGCUUAUUUAUCCAGAUUGUUUAGAUCAGAGAUCGAGAAGCACCGGUGUGGCUUAUAAUUCGAUGCAACAGUCUAAAAUCGACACAGAGAUAAACCCUCCAGGACUCAGCGCGAGAGAGUGGAGAAGAUCUCUGUUGUGGCGUGCCCGCGCAGUGAGCGCUCUCCGGCCGAUACUUAAAUUAUGAGAACUUCAACAAUAAUGUACCUUCAAGUCCGUAAGUCGUAACUACAUUUGACAACGUGAAUAAAUGAAAAACAUUUGUAACAAGUUUUUAUAAAAUUAUUUAUUAAUCUGAGUUUGGACAUAAACAUUCGAUGACGGCGUCCUUCUUCGCUGCCACGUACUGUUAUUGACAAUGUCGGUAGGUCGUCGCCGUUGGCCUACUGACGAACUGAAGCCAACGUGUAUAGCCCAGUCCCUGACCGCGGUCGGGGGCCAGUUGUGGUAUUGCCGUCCUCAGGUUUGUGAGACUUCUAACUUGAUUUUUAAACUUAUAAAAUAUAACGAAAGUAGUCUUAAAUUUUCAUAAAGUUUCUUAACCUAAUCAUACAUUAUGAGAAUUAUACAUAUUACAGAGAUAACUUAACCAUAAGUAUACAUAAGAGAUGUGAAUGUUGCAGCUCCGCGGGAGGGAGGGGGGGGUUUACACGAGGGGGUAGGAGGCGGAGGAGGCGAUGCCGCAGCGGUUGUUCUUGUUCCGGAUCAUCUUGAUGUAGCCCAGCUCGCCCCACGAGCGGCCCCACGAGUUCUUCACGAGCCAGUAGUCCACGCCCUGCUCGUCGGUGCCGUAACCCACCACCAGAACC